AGAGAGAGACAUGCGCGCAUAUCAAUAAGCGGAGGAAAAGAAACUAACAAGGAUUCCCUUAGUAACGGCGAGUGAAGCGGGAAGAGCUCAAAUUUGAAAUCUUCAAGGUUUUACCUUGACGAAUUGUAGUUUAAAGAAGUGUUUUCUGCUGAAGUUUUGGUAAAAGUUCUUUGGAAUAGGACAUCAUAGAGGGUGAGAAUCCCGUAUUUGACCAUUAUUUUCAGCUUUGUGAUACACUUUCAAAGAGUCGGAUUGUUUGGGAAUGCAGUCCAGAAUGGGUGGUAAAUUUCAUCUAAAGCUAAAUAUUGGCGAGAGACCGAUAGCGAACAAGUACCGUGAGGGAAAGAUGAAAAGAACUUUGAAAAGAGAGUUAAACAGUACGUGAAAUUGUCAAAAGAGAAGCGUUUGACACCAGUGUUGUUUUCUCGAAAAUCAAUUAAAAAUGGCUCGAUUUUGUAUUGCUUGAGACCUUAAAAGCUCACUGUACAUUUUUCGUGUCUUUUUUAAUGCACUUUUCGUUUAACAAGUCAACAUCAGUUUCUUUUGUUGUAAAAGGGUCAUUGGAAGGUGGCUUUCUUUUCGGAGAAAGUGUUUAUAGCCUUUGGCCUCUGCAAUCGAAGAGACUGAGGUCUGCAGCGUAGACUCUUCGGGGUUAGAUACAUUUGUGCUAAGUUAUAGCUUUUUAUAGACAACUUGUUGACUAUAAUUAGUCUUGUAGCUUACUCGCUUAUGCUAUUUUACCUACGCUUAGGAUGUUGAGUCGUAGAGCACGCAG
rnacentral:rRNA from 1 species